rnacentral:rRNA from 1 species
CGAACGCUGGCGGCGUGCUUAACACAUGCAAGUCGAACGGUGACGCGCCUUCCUUUUUGGUGGGUGUGGAUGAGUGGCGAACGGGUGAGUAACACGUGAGUAACCUGCCCCCUUCUUCUGGAUAACCGCAUGAAAGUGUGGCUAAUACGGGAUAUUCUGGGUCUGUCGCAUGUUGGGUCUGGGAAAGAUAUUGUUUCGGUGGGGGAUGGGCUCGCGGCCUAUCAGCUUGUUGGUGGGGUGUUGGCCUACCAAGGCGGUGACGGGUAGCCGGCCUGAGAGGGUGGACGGUCACACUGGGACUGAGACACGGCCCAGACUCCUACGGGAGGCAGCAGUGGGGAAUAUUGCACAAUGGGCGCAAGCCUGAUGCAGCGACGCCGCGUGAGGGAUGGAGGCCUUCGGGUUGUGAACCUCUUUCGCCAGUGAAGCAGGCCUGCCUCGUUUGUGGGUGGGUUGACGGUAGCUGGAUAAGAAGCGCCGGCUAACUACGUG